UACGUAGGGGGCAAGCGUUGUCCGGAUUUACUGGGCGUAAAGAGCGUGUAGGCGGCCAAGCAGGUCCGUUGUGAAAACUGGAGGCUUAACCUCCAGACGUCGACGGAAACCGCGCGGCUAGAGUCCGGGAGAGGUGAGUGGAACUGCGAGUGUAGAGGUGAAAUUCGUAGAUAUUCGCAAGAACACCAGCGGCGAAGGCGGCUCACUGGCCCGGUACUGACGCUGAGGUGCGAAAGCGUGGGUAGCGAACAGG
rnacentral:rRNA from 1 species